GCAUUGGUGGUUCAGCGGUAGAAUUCUUGCCUUCCAUGCAGGAGACGCAAGUUUGAGUCCCAGCCAGCGCA
rnacentral:tRNA from 1 species